rnacentral:rRNA from 1 species
GAGUUGUUGCUGGUCCUCAGACGAGGGCAUGUGCACGCUCUGUUUACACAUCCACUCACACCUGUGCACCCUCUGUAGUUCUAUGGUCUGAGGGGCUCUGUCCUCUCGCCGUGGCUCUAUGUCUUUACACACGCACUGUAAUAAAGUUUCAUGGAAUGCAUGACGCGUUUAACGCAAUACAAUACAACUUUCAGCAACGGAUCUCUUGGCUCUCGCAUCGAUGAAGAACGCAGCGAAAUGCGAUAAGUAAUGUGAAUUGCAGAAUUCAGUGAAUCAUCGAAUCUUUGAACGCACCUUGCGCCCUUUGGCUAUUCCAGAGGGCAUGCCUGUUUGAGUAUCAUGAACACCUCAACUCUCACGGUUUGCCGUGAUGAGCUUGGACUUUGGAGGUCUUGCCGGCCUGUGGUUGGCUCCUCUCAAAUGAAUCAGCUUGCCAGUGUUUGGUGGCAUCCCAGGUGUGAUAACUAUCUACGCUUGUGGCUUUCCACCAGGUAACCUUCAGCGAUGGAGGUUCGCUGGGGCUCACAAAUGUCUCUCCUAAGUGAGGACGGCUUCUUGAAUGUUUGAUCUCAAAUCAGGUAGGGCUACCCGCUGAACUUAAGCAUAUCAAUA